CUUGGGUGCGCAGAGCUUGCAGCGCAUUCGAAAGGAGUUGUUUUUGCAUCCAACCAUUUCGAAAAAUUCUUCCAGGUACGGCCAGGGAUGUAGAAGGGUUGGCUGGUCUUCCUGGCUACCAACCUCCUCGCUGGUGCUUGAUUGGGACAUUUCGCUCGAGUUCUCUUGAGUCUCUGCCACGGACACCUUCGUACUAGGCUACAUACAUUUCUAAUUAGGUUAUGG